GAUGAACGCUGGCGGCGUGCCUAAUACAUGCAAGUCGAGCGAACAGACGAGGAGCUUGCUCCUCUGACGGUAGCGGCGGACGGGUGAGUAACACGUGGAUAACCUACCUAUAAGACUGGGAUAACUUCGGGAAACCGGAGCUAAUACCGGAUAAUAUAUUGAACCGCAUGGUUCAAUAGUGAAAGACGGUUUUGCUGUCACUUAUAGAUGGAUCCGCGCCGCAUUAGCUAGUUGGUAAGGUAACGGCUUACCAAGGCAACGAUGCGUAGCCGACCUGAGAGGGUGAUCGGCCACACUGGAACUGAGACACGGUCCAGACUCCUACGGGAGGCAGCAGUAGGGAAUCUUCCGCAAUGGGCGAAAGCCUGACGGAGCAACGCCGCGUGAGUGAUGAAGGUCUUCGGCUCGUAAAACUCUGUUAUUAGGGAAGAACAAAUGUGUAAGUAACUAUGCACGUCUUGACGGUACCUAAUCAGAAAGCCACGGCUAACUACGUG
rnacentral:rRNA from 1 species